GACGAACCGUGCAAACGUUGUUCGGAAUCACUGGGCUUAAAGGGCGCGUAGGCGGGUGAUCAAGUCAGGGGUGAAAUCCUCCAGCUCAACUGGAGAACAGCUUUUGAUACUGGUCAUCUUGAGGGGGGGUAGGGGCAUGUGGAACUUCCGGUGGAGCGGUGAAAUGCGUAGAUAUCGGAAGGAACGCCGGUGGCGAAAGCGACGUGCUGGACCCUUUCUGACGCUGAGGCGCGAAAGCCAGGGGAGCAAACGGG
rnacentral:rRNA from 1 species